GGACGAACGCUGGCGGCGUGCCUAACACAUGCAAGUCGAACGAAGCAUAGCAAUAUGCUUAGUGGCGGACGGGUGAGUAACGCGUGAACAAUCUGCCCUGUACAAAGGAAUAGCCUCGGGAAACCGGGAUUAAAACCGUAUGACACUUUAGUAUCGCAUGAUAAGAAAGUCAAAUCGAUUAGAGGUAUGGGAUGAGUUCGCGUCUGAUUAGCUGGUUGGCGGGGUAACGGCCCACCAAGGCGACGAUCAGUAGCCGGCCUGAGAGGGUGAACGGCCACACUGGAACUGAGACACGGUCCAGACUCCUACGGGAGGCAGCAGUGGGGAAUAUUGCACAAUGGAGGGAACUCUGAUGCAGCGACGCCGCGUGAGUGAAGAAGGUCUUCGGAUCGUAAAACUCUGUCCUUGGUGAAGAAAAGGACGGUAGCCAAGGAGGAAGCCCCGGCUAACUACGUGCCAGCAGCCGCGGUAAUACGUAGGGGGCGAGCGUUGUCCGGAUUUACUGGGCGUAAAGGGUGAGUAGGCGGUUAUAUAUGUCAGGUGUAAAAGAUCAUGGCUCAACCAUGGUUGGCACUUGAAACUGUAUGACUUGAGUGCAGGAGAGGUAAGCGGAAUUCCUAGUGUAGCGGUGAAAUGCGUAGAUAUUAGGAGGAACACCAGUGGCGAAGGCGGCUUACUGGACUGUAACUGACGCUGAGGCACGAAAGCGUGGGUAGCAAACAGGAUUAGAUACCCUGGUAGUCCACGCUGUAAACGAUGAGUGCUAGGUGUUGGGUAGCGAUAUUCAGUGCCGGAGUAAACACAAUAAGCACUCCGCCUGGGGAGUACGUACGCAAGUAUGAAACUCAAAGGAAUUGACGGGGACCCGCACAAGCAGCGGAGCAUGUGGUUUAAUUCGAAGCAACGCGAAGAACCUUACCAAGGCUUGACAUCCCCUUGACCAGUGCAGAGAUGUACUCUCUUCUUCGGAAGCAAGGGAGACAGGUGGUGCAUGGUUGUCGUCAGCUCGUGUCGUGAGAUGUUGGGUUAAGUCCCGCAACGAGCGCAACCCUUAUCCUUAGUUGCCAGCAUAUAAGGUGGGCACUCUAAGGAGACUGCCGGUGAUAAACCGGAGGAAGGUGGGGAUGACGUCAAGUCCUCAUGGCCCUUACGGGUUGGGCUACACACGUGCUACAAUGGUGGUGACAAUGGGUUAAUCCCCAAAAGCCAUCUCAGUUCGGAUUGGGGUCUGCAACUCGACCCCAUGAAGUCGGAAUCGCUAGUAAUCGCGUAACAGCAUGACGCGGUGAAUACGUUCCCGGGCCU
rnacentral:rRNA from 1 species